rnacentral:rRNA from 1 species
CAUCUAGCAUGUGCGCAAGUCAUUGGGUAUUUAUAUUAAACCUAAAGGCAUAAUGAAAGUAAAUAUAUAUAUAUAAUUUUUAUAAUUAUAUUUUAUAAAGGGAAGAUGGGUAACGUUAUUUAUGUUACCUCGCAUUCCCGGGGCGUCGCAUACUUAUUGCAAGUUGCGGCGCACCAAGAGCGUACACGCUGGGACCCGAAAGAUGGUGAACUAUGCCUGGUCAGGAUGAAGUCAGGGGAAACCCUGAUGGAGGUCCGUAGCGAUUCUGACGUGCAAAUCGAUCGUAUGAACUGGGUAUAGGGGCGAAAGACUAAUCGAACCAUC